CGAACCGUGCGAACGUUGUUCGGAAUCACUGGGCUUAAAGGGCGCGUAGGCGGGCUGUCAAGUCUGGGGUGAAAUGCCGCGGCUCAACCGUGGAACUGCCUUAGAUACUGACGGCCUCGAGGGAGGUAGGGGCGUGCGGAACUGUAGGUGGAGCGGUGAAAUGCGUUGAUAUCUACAGGAACUCCGGUGGCGAAAGCGGCGCGCUGGACCUCUUCUGACGCUGAGGCGCGAAAGCUAGGGGAGCAAACGGGAUUAGAUACCCCGGUAGUCCUAGCCCUAAACGAUGGGUACUAGGUAGUAGACUAGACAUGGGUUUACUGCCGAAGCUAAAGUGCUAAGUACCCCGCCUGGGGAGUAUGGUCGCAAGGCUG
rnacentral:rRNA from 1 species